AUUGAACGCUGGCGGCAGGCCUAACACAUGCAAGUCGAACGGUAGCACAGAGAGCUUGCUCUCGGGUGACGAGUGGCGGACGGGUGAGUAAUGUCUGGGAAACUGCCCGAUGGAGGGGGAUAACUACUGGAAACGGUAGCUAAUACCGCAUAACGUCGCAAGACCAAAGUGGGGGACCUCGGGCCUCACACCAUCGGAUGUGCCCAGAUGGGAUUAGCUAGUAGGUGGGGUAAUGGCUCACCUAGGCGACGAUCCCUAGCUGGUCUGAGAGGAUGACCAGCCACACUGGAACUGAGACACGGUCCAGACUCCUACGGGAGGCAGCAGUGGGGAAUAUUGCACAAUGGGCGCAAGCCUGAUGCAGCCAUGCCGCGUGUAUGAAGAAGGCCUUCGGGUUGUAAAGUACUUUCAGCGGGGAGGAAGGCGGUGAAGUUAAUAACUUCACCGAUUGACGUUACCCGCAGAAGAAGCACCGGCUAACUCCGUGCCAGCCGCCACAGUAA
rnacentral:rRNA from 1 species